AGAACGAACGCUGGCGGCAGGCUUAACACAUGCAAGUCGAACGCCCCCGCAAGGGGAGUGGCAGACGGGUGAGUAACACGUGGGAACAUGCCCAAAGGUACGGAACAACUCCGGGAAACUGGAGCUAAUACCGUAUGUGCCCGAAAGGGGAAAGAUUUAUCGCCUUUGGAUUGGCCCGCGUCGGAUUAGCUAGUUGGUGGGGUAAAAGCCUACCAAGGCGACGAUCCGUAGCUGGUCUGAGAGGACGACCAGCCACACUGGGACUGAGACACGGCCCAGACUCCUACGGGAGGCAGCAGUGGGGAAUAUUGGACAAUGGGCGCAAGCCUGAUCCAGCCAUGCCGCGUGAGUGACGAAGGUCUUCGGAUUGUAAAACUCUUUUGGCGGGGACGAUAAUGACGGUACCCGCAGAAUAAGCCCGGCUAACUUCGUGCCAGCAGCCGC
rnacentral:rRNA from 1 species